CACGUGAGCAACCUACCCUUGACACUGGAUAACAGUUGGAAACAGCUGCUAAUACCGGAUACGAACUCAGCAGGCAUCUGCCGAGUUGGAAAGCUCCGACGGUCAAGGAUGGGCUCGCGGCCUAUCAGCUUGUUGGUGAGGUAACGGCUCACCAAGGCGACGACGGGUAGCCGGCCUGAGAGGGCGACCGGCCACACUGGGACUGAGAUACGGCCCAGACUCCUACGGGAGGCAGCAGUGGGGAAUAUUGCGCAAUGGGCGAAAGCCUGACGCAGCAACGCCGCGUGCGGGAUGACGGCCUUCGGGUUGUAAACCGCUUUCAGCAGGGACGAAACUGACGGUACCUGCAGAAGAAGCACCGGCUAACUACGUG
rnacentral:rRNA from 1 species